UACGUAGGUGGCAAGCGUUAUCCGGAAUUAUUGGGCGUAAAGCGCGCGUAGGCGGUUUCUUAAGUCUGAUGUGAAAGCCCACGGCUCAACCGUGGAGGGUCAUUGGAAACUGGAGGACUUGAGUGCAGAAGAGGAAAGUGGAAUUCCAAGUGUAGCGGUGAAAUGCGUAGAGAUUUGGAGGAACACCAGUGGCGAAGGCGACUUUCUGGUCUGUAACUGACGCUGAGGCGCGAAAGCGCGGGGAGCAAACAGG
rnacentral:rRNA from 1 species